rnacentral:rRNA from 1 species
UACGUAGGUGGCAAGCGUUAUCCGGAAUUAUUGGGCGUAAAGCGCGCGUAGGUGGCCACAUAAGUCCGUUGUGAAAGUCAAAGGCUCAACCUUUGAAAGCCGAUGGAUACUGUGUGGCUAGAGUACGGAAGAGGCGAGUGGAAUUCCUGGUGUAGCGGUGGAAUGCGCAGAUAUCAGGAGGAACACCAAUAGCGAAGGCAGCUCGCUGGGGCGUGACUGACACUGAGGCGCGAAAGCGUGGGGAGCGAACAGG